UUAAAGAAGGAAUUCCCCCAUCUCUUCAGGACUCAGUCAAAUCUCGAGGACGAGAUUCAAUUUAAGUGGGGUAGGUUUGUAACGCCCGCAGAAAUCACCAACUAAAAAUCACCCGUUAAAAACCGUCCUUAAAACCUUUUUACCGCUGAGCUCCCGGAAAUCAGAAAUCUCCCCGGCGAUUUCGCCGUCCCGGUACCCAUGCGACCCCCACCUAUCUU
rnacentral:lncRNA from 1 species